rnacentral:rRNA from 1 species
AUUGAACGCUGGCGGCAUGCUUUACACAUGCAAGUCGAGCGGCAGCGCGGGGGCAACCCUGGCGGCGAGCGGCGAACGGGUGAGUAAUGCAUCGGAACGUACCCUGGAGUGGGGGGAUAACGCCGCGAAAGCGGCGCUAAUACCGCAUAUGCUCUGAGGAGGAAAGUGGGGGGACCGCAAGGCCUCACGCUCUGGGAGCGGCCGAUGUCCGAUUAGCUAGUUGGUGGGUAAAGGCUUACCAAGGCGACGAUCGGUAGCUGGUCUGAGAGGAUGAUCAGCCACACUGGGACUGAGACACGGCCCAGACUCCUACGGAGGCAGCAGUGGGGAAUUUU